GUGUGUGUGGGGAAAAAGUACAGAAGUCUCUGAGGUCGAAACAUGGAAAGACUUUAAGGCACUUCUGUAU
rnacentral:sRNA from 1 species